rnacentral:tRNA from 1 species
GGAGGCGUGGCAGAGUGGUUUAAUGCGCCGAUCUCGAAAAUCGGUCGGGUGGCAGCACCCUCACAGGUUCGAAUCCUGUCGCCUCCGCCA